rfam:Helianthus annuus linkage group 15, whole genome shotgun sequence.
AAUAACCAAAUAUGAUACUUGGGCUAAGCGUCAAGUUGGUGAUUUUUCUUACAUCUCCUCCUCCCGGAGCCCAAGUAUCAUAUACGCCCCCAAAAUAAAGAGCCUUGAAUACUAGAAGAAAAGCACCUAGAACUAACAAGAUUAAAUGAAUACCUAAAAUUGUGGUCAUAAUUGGUUAGUUAGCGUUUGCCG